rnacentral:lncRNA from 1 species
AAGGAGACAAGUAGCAGCAGCGCCCCAAAUCGAGGGAGGGAGGAUCCUCUCAGGUGAUAUUUUAUCUCUCAAAUGUGAUGUCCCAUCUCUUGGUUAGUUGCUUUGUUUGGAUGAUUUCUGGCCUUGAUGUGUGCUGCGAUUUACGAGUAUUUGGUAGUAUGAACUGUAGAAUAGGGAAUAGAUCUGGGGUGAUGGGUUUAACAACCACAGGAGAUAGAUGGUGCCUUUGUGCAGUACUAGGAAUCAAAAGGAUCUGGGUGGGAAUGGUGACGAGGCAACACAACGAUUUCAUGUGUUCGUUAUAACUUUAGAUAGUCUAAACACCAUUUUUUAUGAACUACGAUGGAUCAUAAAGCUACUAACAUUAUAACAAUUGGCUUUAUCUGAUAAAAAAUUGCAGUCAACUAACAAAUGGAUGGUAAGACCAGGAGAAUAUAACUGAAGAAAUCUAUAGCAUUUUAACUGAAGGACAAACUGACUUAUCUUCAGUUAAGUGGCAUAUUAACUUUUCAUCAGUGAGGUACAACAUUCUCUACAUACGGUGCUUUUUUCUUGAGUAUACCAGUUCAAUAAUGAACGAUUAAUUCACUAUAUGAAUUGAUUUCAGUUUUGUACAUGUCUGCAUCAUACUUAAUGUUAAUUCCCUAUUAAAUUAGCAAGAUUUAGGAAGUCAUUUUUUUGCAGGUCAAAAAAGCAAGAUUUAGAUGAUAUUUCGCAACAAUGUCAAUGUUAGAUUCUGAUUCACCAACAGUGCUCUUUAGGUUACAAAGGAUUUGAAUUGAGCGAUUCAACUCUGCCUUCAUCAGUACAAACAAUUCAUAAAAGAGGUUCAGUCUCUUCUUUAUUAUCUAGGUGCAUUAAUACUAUGUAUGAUACUAACUGAGUACAGUUGCCUGCAGUAUGCAUUGCUCUACUUUGGAUCCUUUUUCUUACUUUAUACUUCCUUUGCUCUCUGUUGUGUUUGCAGAUGAAUUGGACUAAUCUACUCAGCAUCUCAUGACUUUAGAAGCACGAGUUCAUGAAAACUGAUAUCCACUAGGAUUGCUCUGCUCCUGUUGACAUGCGAGAGCUGUUUGAAGCGAACUGGAUGGUUGUCACCACUGAUUAAGCUGCCGAGCCCAAGAAUUGUGUCAGACUAUUGGCCAAGCUGUUCAAUUUCUCAACACCGUUCAGUUUUGUCAUUGGCCGCCCUUGCGUACACUCAACAGAGAAGGGUAUCUAUCCUCAAUUUCCUACUCUAGAUAACAUCCACUCAUAUAAUUGAUCUCUAAUAUCCUGUACAAAACGUUAGUGGUGGCUCGACAAUUUAAUAAGCCAGAUUUGUGGGAAGUGGAAUGCAUGUGUAACCAAACUGGGCUGGACCAAUCUUGAGGUUUUCCACGAAUUCUUUUAAAAAUGGUUCUUAAGCAAGGCACUGGGAAAUCGUGGAUAGCUGAUAUAUCCAGCAGGUAUGUGCACAUUCUGCUAUAAUCUAGAGUAGGGAGUGCUCAGCAUAAAUUGUGAGAUCUGAGCUGGUACAUAAAAUAAACCAAGAUAGUCUUGUCUUACGUGCGGAUGAUUUUAUUAUGGCAUACUGUUCAGCAUAAUUCUGACUCUAGAAUGUCUGUAUUAGCCAUUUGAUGAGUCAACUAGAAACUUCAUAGGUUUUUAGUACUCCAGUUAUGUUGUCAUUUGUAUAUCUCCAGAUAUAAACUUCAUAAAUUUAUAUCGUGAAUCAUUUUUAUGCUGCUACAUUUCUAGCAGAAGUUGUAUCUCUUUCCCACAAAGCGUGAUAAUGUGCAUUGCACUUGUACUGCUCUAUCUUAUUGUUAUAUUUGCAUUUGCCAUUACUUUCAUAGUCUAUAUUUUGGCUCUGAACUAAACCAUAUCAUUGCUUGCGUGCACCUAUACGACACAUAUCACAUAAAACUAAUUAGAGGGGAUGCAUUCCCACCUGGCAACGCCCAGCUAUCUCUCAGGAGGCCCGCAAUGGCGGGCCCCAACCACUAGUUUGCAUGAACCAGUAGUAGUAGUACAAUACAAACCGCAAACAAACCGAAGAAGCGUGCACCAUAAGCAUCCAAAAGUCAAAACUUAGACCCAAAUCUGGCCGCACCCACCAAACGCCAGAGAUGAUCUCGAUAUGCUACUGGCCUAAACACGGUACCACAAUCGUACAAUCUGGUACAAUAACCUACUACUACUAAGACCUAAAAGAAUUGAAAUAUUUUAUUUAGGCGAUAAAAGAAUCGAACUUGUUCUCAGUUCUCACAUGAGAAAGGAGUUUGUGGGGCCGUAUGCAUGAGACCGGAGGUAAUCCUCCUUUUGAAAAAAGGAAAACAUGAGAAGCAUGAGAAUUGAGAAGCAGAGAGAAGAUGUACGCAUAGUACCAAAUCAACGGGAAGCUGCUGGCCCGAACGGCAAGAACACUCGUUUAGAAGAGAAGAGCAAGAAGAACCGGCGUCCGGCAAGAAGACGAUACGCACAGAAUCUACUCCGGAUGGCGUACCGGGGAUUGGAGUUGGAGAGCCGUGCGCCGAUUCCGCCGUGACGGUUUCAAAAGUUGAAGAACAGGGAAAAGUUGUACUACGUUUAAUGGACUUAACUGCAUGCAGCAGAAGUUGUUGUGGUAAGCGAGCAGUAACUACGGUACAGCAGGCAAGUAGGCAGGGAACAAGAACUCACCCGCAAAUACUAGAAAACCACAAGAAGAAGAAGACUAGUAGUUUGCCUAAUUUCUCAUGUGUUUACCAUCCUGUAGCAAAGUUGCGCUUCCUGGUUCUUCUCAGUCCCAAAAUUCAUGCAAAUCAAUGACCUGUUCCGAUAGUGUAUUUACCGGACUUUAAUGAUCAUUAACUUGUCUUUUUGCCAUAUGGUGUUUAUCUAAUUUACUGAUACGAAAAUGAGUAAUUGUGAUGAACCUCUUAGCCUAAUUAUUGUUUCUUCUGACUAGCUACCGGUGGCGCUGGAUGUGGUCGCCUACUUUGUCGCACAACUCCUUUGACCAUCACGUACAACCCAACAUGGGUGUUGCAGGUUGCUCUCUCUCUCUAUCUCUCAUAUUUUCAAGGUCAUUUCUCUUCAUAAUAUUUACCUCUCAUGGUAGUUGCUUCUUUGUUUAAUAGUUAUCUAUCUACUCCCUCC